GAGUGUUAAAGGACAAGUUGGGACAUGCCUAUCUCGGCUUUCAGUGCUUACCAGUCGAAGCUGUGUCUCUUCUCGCAGACGACGCAGAUCUGUCAGCUCUCAAUAUGACGGAAACUCAGCGUUACUCACCUUGACCUGGACUAAUUAGGUGGUGUUUGUGACUCUGGUUGAUGGCCAAAUGGGCCUUCUGAGUAAUUGCUGGAGGUUUCAACAUGCUGAUCACAAGCUUGAUGUCCAAAUUCAUUUUGAUUUUGUUUUGUUUGGGGUCUCUCUGGUUGUGAUGGGGUUCAUUUAGUCAAAUUUAAUGUUUGUGAGGUAUAGCACCACUCUGUUACUGUUCAUCAACAUGGUUUUAUUGUUGCUGUUGAGACAUGUAGUCCUGUACAGGACUAGAGUAGACUGGAUCAGUCUAGAUGAAGUCUUGUAUCCAAGGACACAGACAGCAUAAAGUAGAUACACGUGAAAUCAAAUAUCUGUCUGUGUGCAUUAGUUGUAAAAUUAAAACUUAAUGCCUGUGAUAAUUAAUGGUUGUGGGAAAAUCUGAUUGUAUUCUUAUAAUAACCUACUUGUUUUUAUUGGAACAAUAGUGUUUUCCAAAAAAUCAGUUUCAUUCAUGUAAUCUUGAAUACUUUUUUCCAUGUGACAAUAAAAUCAGUCAAGCAGCAAAAUUCUGAGUUCUUUAUAUAAUUGUGCUGUUAUUCUCGAAAUUUCACAAAUUUCACAAACUUUUUCUUUUAAAAAUAUAUUGUUUGUUUUUGUUCAUUGUAAAUUCAGAAUCACUGCUAAAAAUUUUACCUUUUUUUUAUUUGUCCUUGUAAGUUUAAUAAAUGAGCUUCCUGUAUUGACAAAAUAAUAAUUUACAGACAGGAGGAUUAUCUCUUCAAUCACAUAAAAAUUACUUUUUCCUUCAGUACAUUUUCUGUGUAAAUUUUUAGAACUGAAAUUUCUCAGGAUUUUAUCACAAUUUCUUGUUUUUCUUUUAGUUUUAUUUAACCUUUUUCUUUUUUAGCAUCAAUAUGUUUUCAUUAAUGCCUUUCAACUUUAUUCCUGUAAUUUUUACAUUUUUAUAUAAGUAAAAGUUAUAUUUAUACUCUUAGUUUUAGCUUGUGAAACUGUUAUUGAUGCUUUUCCAUGUAAAUAACUUAAUUUCAGAAUGUUGUGGAUCUUCUAAAAUUUCAGCUCCAUUAUUUUAUUUAAUACAUACUGUCAAUCCUUUUCACUUCUCUUGUUCAAAU